rnacentral:misc_RNA from 1 species
GAUGAAGAACGCAGCGAAAUGCGAUAAGUAAUGUGAAUUGCAGAAUUCAGUGAAUCAUCGAAUCUUUGAACGCACCUUGCGCCCUUUGGCUAUUCCGAAGGGCAUGCCUGUUUGAGUAUCAUGAACACCUCAACUCUCAUGGUUUGCCAUGAUGAGCUUGGACUUUGGGGGUCUUGCCGGCCUAUGGGUCGGCUCCUCUCAAAUUAAUCAGCUUGCCAGUGUUUGGUGGCAUCAUAGGUGUGAUAACUAUCUACGCUUGUGGUUUUCCAUCAGGUAACCUUCAGUGAUGGAGGUUCGCUGGGGCUCAUAAAUGUCUCUCCUCAGUGAGGACAGCUUUUUUGAACGUUUGAUCUCAAAUCAGGUAGGACUACCCGCUGAACUUAAGCAUAUCAAUAAGCGGAGGA